rnacentral:lncRNA from 1 species
GGGUACUUGCCUUCAUCAGAGCCUCUGGGGGGGAAGAAGUCGAGGCCGUAAGUUCUGUGAGUUUUCCCUGCCCCCAGACAGAGAAUGAGAGGCAGACACCACCACAGCUCUGAGCAGGGGAGCUAAAGCGCCCCUCCUGCAGCCAGGAGCCCCGCGGCCGUCUGGAGGGCUAGCGGUGAGGCCAUGCGUUGGACUCAGGACCGGGAGAGAGGCUGGUGCCAGAAGGAGAGUGCUUGCUGCCCGAGGAUCCAGGAGAGGUGUGGAGGGGCACAUGCUGGGAGCGACUCGGGGUUGCUGGGCCAGACCUCUCCCAGCACGGCCAGGGCCCUGUGUCCCACCCCCACCGGGGACCCCCCUCUUCUUAGCACCCUGUGCUCGCAGCAGCAGCUCCAGUAACUUCCACCCAAGAUUCUGCACACCACAGAAGGGACCUCAGUUCGGAACCCACCCAUUGACCUGAUUCUUCAGUGCAAUGUAGCCCAUCGCAUUCAAUACAGAAUGUGGACCCAAGUGAGGUUUGGGAAGGAACAGAAUGCUGGUCAGGAGCUUGGGUCCGAGCGUAGACACUUCUGGAGAGAAUCAGCAGCAAGGCCAAGUGACGCCCUCCCCCGACCGGCCCCUCCCUUGCUCAUCGCAGCGGACAUCAAGGCCAGACAGCUGCAGACAUUAAGGCCAGCACCUGCCCCUCCUCUGAUUUUAAAUUUUCCAAUAGUCCCAUAAAAUAAAAAAAAAAAAGUAAGUAAAAUUAAUUUUAAUCAUAUGCUGUAUUUAG